GAUGAACGCUAGCUACAGGCUUAACACAUGCAAGUCGCGGGGCAGCAUGGGGGUUGCUUGCAACCCCUGAUGGCGACCGGCGCACGGGUGAGUAACGCGUAUCCAACCUGCCCUUCACCACGGGAUAACCCGGCGAAAGUCGGACUAAUACCGUAUGUUGUCCAUUGACGGCCUCCGAUUUGGACGAAAGGCUUGGCGGUGGAAGGAUGGGGAUGCGUCCGAUUAGCUUGACGGCGGGGUAACGGCCCACCGUGGCUACGAUCGGUGGGGUUCUGAGAGGAAGGUCCCCCACACUGGAACUGAGACACGGGCCAGACUCCUACGGGAGGCAGCAGUGAGGAAGAGUGGUCAAUGGGCGUAAGCCUGAACCAGCCAAGUAGCGUGCAGGAGGACGGCCCUAUGGGUGGUAAACUGCUUUUAUGCGGGGAUAAAGUGGCCCACGUGUGGGCUUUUGCAGGUACCGCAUGAAUAAGGACCGGCUAAUUCCGUG
rnacentral:rRNA from 1 species